CCGUGCUUAAUUCUCUUUGCUUCCAGUUGGGGUGUUGCGCUUUUACUCCCAAAGUACCGAGCUGGGUGAUGAAGCACUUAAGGCACCAGAACCAUUAAAGAGCACUUGGGAGAUAUCUGCAAACAAAUGUAAGAGCCACGAACAACAUUAAAAGAACUCUGAACUGAAUACAAGAAUUGAGGGAAGAAAGGGUUAUAGUGCUAAGGGAAAAUUAAUCAAGAGCGAAAUUCUAGCUAGAGGGCACCUUUGCUGGAGGAAAGGAGGAGGAAAGAAUCGGGACGAUGGUACACGAUGCAGAGCAUAUAAUAUAGGCGGUGUAUAAGAAGCUAAAAUGAUCCAACUUUAUGAUGCUCCUUGUGAGGAUUGAUGGUGAUGUUUCGAUGUGGUGAUUCUCGCUGGGUAUUAUUGAUUCUAUCAUUCAAGAAAUCAAGGUAGUCACUUGUCUGAUGUGUUUGCAGACGCUGUUUGUACAUAAGGCCCUUUUCUGCUGCUCCUUGUAUCGACUGACGCUGAUAGUCAGUGUGCCUUAUCAGUACAUCGUUGAGUUAAUCAACCGGGCUAAUCGCCUUGACGUAAGCUUCUUCACUGGACAUGUGGGUCGCUGAUAGUUAGUGUGCCUUGUCUGUACA